GAUGGCGCAGGGGCAGCGCAGGCCUCGCUCCAGCAGCGCCGUGGGCUCGGCCCCGUUCAGCCCCACGCGGCCCAGCAGCGGAACGGCGCCACAGUCCGCCCAGAACAGGAACCUGACGCAACGUCGCAACGUCACAACGUCGCAACGUCGCAACGUCACAACAUCAUGACGUCACAACGCCGCAACGUCACAACAUCACAACGUCACAACGUCACAACACCGCAACGUCAUGACGUCACAACAUCAUGACGUCACAACAUCAGGACGUCACAACAUCAUGACGUCACAACGUCACAACGCCGCAAUGCCACAACAUCACAAUGCCGCAACGUCACAACAUCACAACGUCACGACGUCACAACGCCGCAACGUCACAACAUCACAACGUCACGACGUCACAACAUCAUGAUGUCACAACAUCACAACGUCACAACGCCACAACAUCACAACGUCAUGACGCCACAACGUCACAACGCCGCAACAUCACAACGUCAUGACGCCACAACGUCACAACGCCGCAACGUCACAAUGCCGCAAUGUCACAACGCCGCAACGUCAUGACGUCAUAACAUCACAACGUCACAAAACCGCAACGUCACAACGCCGCAAUGUCACAACACCACAACGUCAUGACGUCACAACAUCACAACGUCACAGCGCCACAACGUCACAACGUCAUGACGUCACAACGCCGCAACGUCACAACGCCGCAACGUCACAACACCGCAACGUCAUGACGUCACAAUGCCACAACGUCACAAUGUCACAACGUCACAACGUCACAACGUCACAACGCCGCAACGUCACAACGUCGCAAUGCCACAACGUCACAACGUCACGACGUCACAACAUCGCGACGUCACAACGUCAGGACGUCACAACGCCGCAAUGUCACAACGUGACAAUGUCACAACACGACAACGUCACAAUGUCACAACGUCACAAUGCCACAACGUCACAACGUCGCGACGUCACAACGCCGCAACGUCGCAACAACAUCGCGACGUCACAACGUCACAACGCGGCAACGUCACAACGCCGCAAUGUCACAACGUGACAAUGUCACAACACGACAACGUCACAAUGUCACAAUGCCACAACGUCGCGACGUCACAACGUCACGACGUCACAACGCCGCAACGUCAUAACGCCACAACGUCACAACAUCACAACGUCACAACAUCGCAACGUCACAACAUCACAACGUCACAACGCCGCAACGUCACAACGCCACAACGUCACAACACCGCAACGUCAUGACGUCACAACAUCAUGACGUCACAACAUCAUGACGUCACGACGUCACAACGUCACAACGCCGCAACGUCACAACGCCGCAACGUUAUGACGUCACAACAUCAUGACGUCACAACAUCAUG
rnacentral:lncRNA from 1 species